CCUGGCUCAGAUUGAACGCUGGCGGCAGGCCUAACACGAUGCAAGUCGAACGGUAACAGGAAUCAGCUUGCUGAUUCGCUGACGAGUGGCGGACGGGUGAGUAAUGUCUGGGAAACUGCCUGAUGGAGGGGGAUAACUACUGGAAACGGUAGCUAAUACCGCAUAACGUCGCAAGACCAAAGAGGGGGACCUUCGGGCCUCUUGCCAUCGGAUGUGCCCAGAUGGGAUUAGCUAGUAGGUGGGGUAACGGCUCACCUAGGCGACGAUCCCUAGCUGGUCUGAGAGGAUGACCAGCCACACUGGAACUGAGACACGGUCCAGACUCCUACGGGAGGCAGCAGUGGGGAAUAUUGCACAAUGGGCGCAAGCCUGAUGCAGCCAUGCCGCGUGUAUGAAGAAGGCCUUCGGGUUGUAAAGUACUUUCAGCGGGGAGGAAGGGAGUAAAGUUAAUACCUUUGCUCAUUGACGUUACCCGCAGAAGAAGCACCGGCUAACUCCGUGCCAGCCGCAGC
rnacentral:rRNA from 1 species